rnacentral:rRNA from 1 species
GAUGAACGCUGGCGGCGUGCUUAACACAUGCAAGUCGAACGGGAAAUAUUUCAUUGAGCCUUCGGUGGAUUUGAUUUAUUUCUAGUGGCGGACGGGUGAGUAACGCGUGGGUAACCUGCCUUAUACAGGGGGAUAACAGUCAGAAAUGGCUGCUAAUACCGCAUAAGCGCACAGAGCUGCAUGGCUCAGUGUGAAAAACUCCGGUGGUAUAAGAUGGACCCGCGUUGGAUUAGCUAGUUGGUGGGGUAACGGCCCACCAAGGGGACGAUCCAUAGCCGGCCUGAGAGGGUGAACGGCCACAUUGGGACUGAGACACGGCCCAGACUCCUACGGGAGGCAGCAGUGGGGAAUAUUGCAAAAUGGGGGAAACCCUGAUGCAGCGACGCCGCGUGAAGGAAGAAGUAUCUCGGUAUGUAAACUUCUAUCAGCAGGGAAGGUAGUGACGGUACCUGACUAAGAAGCCCCGGCUAACUACGUG